AGUCAAGUCGUGGGAGGGGCAGGGGCUUGUUACGGUUUAAUCCUCCCUGUCUCUGGAAGAUUCCCUGGAGCCCCGCAGGAGGGCUUUCCUUCCCUCCCCCACCCACUGCUGAUAUUUACUCUUCCACUAUCCGCCCCUCUAAGUGCACAGCUUGUUUGUGAGAUACGAUAAUAAAACCAUCACGUUAUCACAUUAGCAGUUUUCCUGCUGGGAAUCUCCCCUCCUCCUCUGGGGUGGCAGGCACCCAAACGCAGUCCCCAUCAUCAGACUGUUAACACAGCUAAUUACCAUCUUCCAACAGGGAGGUCACCAUGGAGGCUGCAUCCCUUCUCCUGCACCUCAAUGAGAGAAAAAGAACAAAGUUGGCCACCCACCCAACCUUUCAGACUUCUCCUGGAAAGCAGGAGGCCACCACCUGGUGUCCCUGGAAGAGUCCAGUAUUCUCACAGCUUCCCUGCCAAAGAAUGGAAGGUCUGGAUCCACCCUGAGUUUCUCUCUUAUCAGGAUAAGAAGACUUCAUCCAUUCCUCCCUCCCAUCCAUACCUCCCUCCCAGUUAGGAAGCAGGAGGAGUCCUUUUUCCUGCUGUGCCCCAACCAACCCCAAGUUAGAAGGCUGGGGGAUGGCAGUUCACCAUCCCUGGGCCUGGAAGGAAGCCUGGGAUGACCUU
ensembl:lncRNA